rnacentral:lncRNA from 1 species
AUAUAUAUAUCCCAAAUUAACCGGCCCUAUACUAAACACCAAAUCCCUAAAAUUACAGAUAAUUUCUUAACUCUAAAAGCACGCACGCACGCAACCCUGUUCUCUCAGCAGCACACCCGCCGUCGGCACACUUAGCCCGUGCAGUAGUAACCGAGCAUGGCAGCACCAGGCCACCAGCAGCCGCCCUUUCUUUCACCAUGCUCUCAUGCACACAUAGCAGCAGGCCAGCACCAGCAGCCCCUCUCUCUCAUGCUUGCUCUCUACUAUGUCGGAGUCAACACUGUACCCCUCUUACCCAAGAAAACUCUAACCCAUAUCCAAACCCUUGCCGUCGAAGAAAACCCAAUCAUUAACUGCUUGAAAUUAAAGCCUUCACUGUCAAUCACCAUCGAACCAGAUAAACCCUAGCCUCGCCAUCACUCGCCGUUUCACUCACUGAAGAAAACACUCUACCAUGUGAGUCUCUGUUGUUCGAUAAUAUAUGUGCAUCGCCUGAGAUUUUGAUUUACUUACUUAAAUUAAUAAAAUUUGAAUGUUGAUCUUCUUUGUUGCCCGAAGCUGUCACAUGACCACUUUGAUUCACCGCUUCGAUUGGUUUGGUUCUCUAUGAUUAAGUAAUGAAUUACUUACUUUUAAUUUCAUAUUUUCCUAUCUAACUGUGAUUUUGGGAGUCGGUUUCUUGGUUGGAUUUGUAAUUUUUGAUGCAGAUCAAAAACAUCUUGAAGGUGUUUGUUUCAUUGUCGUAAUCCUUAAUCCUUUUGUGCAAUAAUUUCUUCAAUGGAUUUGAUUACUUGAUUUGUUUACUCUAUUUAUUUAUUUUUCUUAUAUUGUUGUCUGUUGGUUAAGGGAAUCUUUUGUGUUGUGGUAAUGGAAAAUGAUUCCAUUAUCUCUCGCCAUGGUUUUUGUUUUGCAAUUUUUCUGUAGGUUUGCUGUCAAAAUAGCUGCUAGAAGUUUACAAUGGCUGUUUUACUGCUUUUCUGCAGUGAAACAGCCCUUGGUAAUUUGCAGGGGCUGUUUUCACUACAAAACAGCAGCAAAACAGCCCCUGCAGAUUUCUAUUGGUUGUUUUCACUGCAGAACAGUAGCAAAACAACUGCUGGAAAUCUGCAGGUGUUGAUUAGUUGCUGUUCUACAGUCAAAAAGGCUCCUAGAAAUUUUUUGGUCUACUUUGUAUUGAAAAUAUUUUGGAAGAUUGUCGAGGAAGGAGGGGAAUGAGAGCAGUAGUUUUUUAGAAGGCUUGAUGAUGAGUUUGAUAAAUUUGACAAGUUUUACUGGACUGAAGUGAAAGAAAAUUAUGCUUAGGUUGAAAGUUUGAGUAAGCAAAUGGAUGCUUUGAUUGCUUUCAAGAUAAAAACUAAGGAAUUGGAAGGAGUGAUUUAGGAUUCUAUACAAUUUGAGCCUAAAGAACAAAAGCAUGAAAGCAAGUUGAUUUUUAAACUUGUUGUUGGUUAUUGCUUUCCUUGUUUCUAUUUCUCGGUAGUUUGAAACUAAUUCAUUUUCUUAAAUUAGCUUUCAAACAACUUUCUUCAUUUUAGUUCAUUCAAAAUUAUUAGUUCUAUCAAUAAUAUGACUUCAUUAAUGCAGAUUAUGUAGAAGACAACAAAGCAACUGCAUAUUUUGACGCCAAUGGUCUCCUCUUCUUUGCUGAAUAGUUAAAUGAUUUGACAAAAUACAAGCUGUAUCAGGUGACUUUUGCAGUUUGUGCUUUAAUUGCCUGUAUGGCGUUACAACUAUACUACUCACCAUUCACAUCUACAAUGGUCAUAUAUUUAUGUAUCUACAAUCCAUUCUCAUGUUUAUGAGUUCUGAACAUGAGUUUUGAAAAUAUUUUUAGAUAUGCACUCAUAUCAGGGUGCCUAUAGAGUCUUCUAAUUGUUUAGCUUAUAGUGUAUACGUGUUAAUGCUCUUGGACGACUAAAUUGGGAUACUAUAUUAAAUUAAUAUAGUACAAGCAUAUGAAUGUGCAAACGUAAUAAAUUUACUCUUUCAAAAUUUCAGUUUAGCAGAUGGUGGUGAUUUUUAGGAUCUUUCUAAUCAUAUAUUCUUUCAAAAUUCUAUAGGUCAAGAAUUUACAAUAAAGUUUGGUGACAUUCAUUGAAUUGAUGGGCCAUAUGAAGAGGUUAAAUUCCUAGACCUUAAAACUUAGGUCCAUCCUUUUAAUUUAUUUACUUUGGCAGCUUAUAUUAAUUUGAUAGCAAUAAUUCAUUUAGCGCUUGUUGAAAGAAACCAUGGGAAGACAGAUAAAUGCUUAUUCUAUGAUUUUUAUAGUUUAAUUUAUUAAAAUUUCAUGAAAUGAGAAGUUCGAGCAUUUAAAUUAUUUGACAUAUGAUCAGCUUGUUUGAACUCUCUUCAUCUCUUAAAUUAAAAUUACGUUGAGGCUAAUUACUUGCACUAUUAUUUUUGUUUUAUGUGGUGCCUAGAAUUGGUUUUGCUACUGUAUUACAAAGAAAACAACACUCAAAAAACGUUUCUUUUUAUUUUCUUUUUUUAUUUUGUUACUUCUUUGCUCUUUAUCUUCUUGCUAAUUGUUUUUUCUUGGGUUGUUUUUGUUUUUCCCUUUGGCUAUAAAUAGAUAUAAUUUUUCAAGGCAGCAAGCAAGCAUGUUAUUAAGUCGAAGAUAUAUUGAAGAUAUAGUGAAGAGAUAAAAGGAAUUAUCAAAUCUUUUUGUAUAACUAACUUUUGAUAUGAAACAUUUGUAGAACGUACAAUUGUAAAAAACUUAUAGAUACUGUAAUUGAAAUUGGGGCUUGAAAUGAUUAUUGUAAAUAUUUAUUUUUUUAAAAUUAACAUGCUAAAGAUGACGGUUAUUAUGUAAGAACCGUCAUUAAAUAUAAGUAUAUUUACUAUAAAAGAUGACGGUUAUGAAUAAAAACCGUCAUAAAAAAUUAAUGGAAAAGUGCAAUAGAUGACUGUUAUUUAAAGAACCGUCAUUAAAUGUGAUUUUUAAUGACGGUUUUUUCUUAAAAACCGUCAUUAAAGCUCUAGUAUGUAUAACUAAUAAUGACUGUUUUGUAAAAUAACCGUCAUUAUAAAUAUACAUUUAAUGACGGUUUUUUCUUAAAAACUGUUAUUAAAGCUCUAGUACAUAUGAUAUAUAAUGACCGUUUAUUAAAAUAACUGUCAUUAUAUGUAUAUAUUUAAUGACGGUUUUUGAACCGUCAUAAAAAGUAUGCCCCUUUUAAUGUCGUUGCCUAAGAUGACAGUUUUGUCAUUUAAAACCGUCAUUAAAGACCAAUUUUGUAGUAGUGAAAUUUGAUCAUGAACUAUAUUUUUACCACCACUUUCUCUGUCAUAUAAAUAGCGUUGCUAAAGCUUAAUUCGGCCUCAAAGAGGCCUUUGACAGGGAUGUACCCUAUCUCUAUAGUUAUCCAUCAUAUGUGUAGAGGUUUUUUUCAAAUCUUUUGUUACAGGGAGAAAGACAAAGUUGAAUUCAUAGGCUGAGAUUUUCUAGAGAUAUCAUUCUUUCUUCUCUUCUUUUUGCUGAUGAUAGACUUAUAUUCACAAGGGAUACUAUUGAAAAGUGCAAACGUUUGUAGUCAAUAUUUGAUUGCUAUUCUUCUACAUUAGGCUAGGUGUUUAAUUAUGAAAAAUCAUCAAUAUCCUUUAGUGGUCAGAUUUAGGGGGGACGAACUAUAGCAAUAAAGAACAUAUUUCAACUUAAUAUGGUGUCUAAGCAUGAAAAAUACCUAGGGCUACCCUCAAUGAUAAGAAGGAAAAGGACAAGUUUCUUUAAUGAUAUCAAACUCAAAGUUUUGAGUAAGUUAACUAACUAGCAUCACAAGUUUUUUUCUAGUGAAGGUAAAAAAAAAUACUAACAAAAGUUGUAGCUCAAGCUGUUCCUACAUAUGUAAUGAGUGGUUUUAAAAUUCCUAUGCGGUUGUGUAACGAUAUCCAGAGAAAAAUGACUAGAUUUUAGAGGGGCUUUAAGGAAAACGAAAGGGGAUGCGCUGGACAAAAUGGGAGAAGAUGAGCUACGCUAAAUAUAGAGGAGGCACGAGAUUUAGAGACAUCUCUAAUUUUAGUCAAGUGUUGAUCGAAAGGCAAAGAUGGGGGAUAACUCAACAUCCUGAUUCUUAGGUGGUAAAAGUAUUAAAAGUUAAAUACUUCAAGAAUUCUCAUUUCCUCAAGGCUAAGACAAGUUCUAGCCUAUCUUUUGUUUGUACAUCAUGGGGCAGACAAGUUCUUCAACAAGGUAUUAGAUAGAGAGUUGGGGACAUAAACAAAAUUAAAGUUUAGUCUAGUAAUUGGUUACCUAGGCCAAUGACUUAUAAGCCAAUUGUGAAAUCAAAGUUGCCUGAUGAUAUUAGAGUUUUUAAACUAAUUGAUUCUAAUCACAGGUGAGAUAAAGCUUUUAUUCACAAGAACUUUGCUGCAGAUGAUGCUGAAGCCAUCAAGACAACUUUCUUACUGAGCAAGCCCACGAGGAUGAGGUGCUCUAGCACUUUGACAAAAAGAGGAUUUAUUAUGUUGAAAGUGUACACCAAUUGGCUCUCAAGCUUAGGUUCCCUAAAAGUCUCAGUUGUUCAACCUUUGACCCUCAAGGUUGGCGAACAAACUAAAAGUUAAGUACCCCGUGAUUGACACUAAAAAGUGUACAUUUAAUAAGGAUAAAAUUAUUAGUUUUUUACUUAUUGUGUCGAUUAAUGCACUCAUUAUUCCUAAGUUAUCUUAAUACUUUCCAAAUAUAAUUUUAUGUUAAAUUAAUUGUAAUAUGUUAAUUUAAUUUUAAUUUUAUAUUGUAAAUAUAUUUCAAGAAUAAAAAAGAGUUGAAAUUGGAAGUUGGAACAAAGAAUAAUUGUUGGAGCCAUUUGAAAAUCAUUAUUGAGGAAGUGUAAUUAAAAAAUCAAAAUAAAAAAAGUGAGCAAUCAUGUUGAUGAUGGUCAGGAGGCCAUUAUGCCACAUGUCCAUCACACUUCUCAAUGUACAUUUAUAUUAUAAAAAUAAAAUAAAAUAAACAAAAUAAAUAAAGAAGGAUGCAUUCCUUGCCUAUAAAAGGUAAUGAGAUGUAGGAGAGAGGAGAGAGAGAGGAGAGAGCGAAGCUGAGGAAUCGUUUUUUAUUUUUUCUUCUUUUUCUUGUUUUGUUGUGUAAUCAAUUUUCUUUUAAUAUAUUUCAAAAGUUUAUCAAAUAAAAAGAGAUUUUUUUUUCUUUCAAUAUGAGUAGUUAAUUUUAUUAAGCUGAGGUGAAGGGUGAAGCUCAAGAUUUCAAGUUCUUAAAUUUAUUACUUUCUCAAGUGAGUUUUAAGUUUAUUUUAUUCUUUUCUGGUUAUUUUAAUGUCAUGUUAAUUUAUAGAUUUUCUUGGAUCUAUAUGGUAUUUUGACAUAAUGUUGACACAUUAAUACAUUUGUGGCACAUUAGGUAUUUUAUUCCAUAUUUAUCUACACACAUAGUUAGUUAAGAAUUAAAUAAUAUAAUAAUUAACUAGUAAUAGUUAGGAAAAAUAUAAAAAAAAUGAGAGAGUAUUAAAAUUAUAGUUUGAAUAUUAAGAGUGAAUCUUGUAACCUUAGCAUAAUUUUAAAUUGAUUCCUAGUAAUUUUUUCCCCCAAUUAAUUUUUUUAUUUAACAAAUUGAUUACUAGAUUUUAAAGGUUAAAAAAAGUCAAAGUUUUUUUAAUGGAAAGCUUAAAAAAGCUUGCUACCAAUUGUGGAAAACUUGUAGAAAAGAAAAGUUGUGCAAGAACCUAUUUGUCAUAUCUAUAAAAAGAAAAGUUCCUCAUGCUUUUUUGGACUGCAAAUUUGCCAAGAAAAUGUAAAGGUACACACAUCUUACUGCAGAAAUUUGAAAAGAAGUUACUAAGUUAGGCAGAAUACUUUUAGUAUGCUGCAAAGUUUGAUAAAAAGCUAACUAUCAAGGAGGUUGAACUAGUAACUUUAGUGUUGUGGGUGGUGCGGAAUGCAAGAAACAAAUAUAUUUUUUAGAGAAAGAUGAUUAGUAUUAAAAAUUGUUUAAUUAUCAAGCGAUAAUAAUAUUAUUUUGUACUUAUGUUAUAAUUUAUAUUUGUGUUUAUGUAAUAUAUUAGGAAUUAUUAAUUAUGUUUUAAAUAUAUCUAAUUUUGUGUAUUUUUGUGUUUAUUAGGUAAAAUAUUAAUUCUACGUAAUUUGAGGCUCCAAACAGAUAAACUGAGGUCAAAUUUGGAUUCCGGAGGUCUGAAAAUCUUAAGAUCAAUCAAGAUCGGCUUAAAAUUGGGCUUGUAUAAAAAGAGUUGACUUUUCCUGUUGACGGAGCACUAAUUGGAUGAUGAAAUGAGCUUACAAUAGAUAUGAGUGCAUGGGAUAGCUGGCAAUUUUGACUAAAUCUCAACCGUUCAUGAUUCAAUGGCCAUAAUUGUGCCACGUGGCAAUGAUUGGUGAAGCAAGUUGUAGGAUCCAAAUCUUUGUAUUCGGGUCGACCCGAUCCACUCAUUAACCCGCCAAAUCUCAACCGUUCUUUGGCCAAAUCGGACGGGUCAAAUGAUGCCACGUGUGAUGUUGACUUUGAAGUUUGAUCAGCUGUUGGAUCUUGAUCUAAUGGUUGUGAGGAGCACAUGCAUGAAGCUUAUGAUGAAUCGCAAAACACUGGAUUAUGAAUUUAUUUUUCUAUAAAUAGAGCCUCAUUUUUAUGUUUUUAAUCAUCUCUCUACAACUCUCUUCUUCUCAAAUUCUCUCCAUCUCCCUGUAAUCUUGAUUUUCAAGUGUGU